rnacentral:snRNA from 1 species
GCAGGGGAGGUAACACGAAAACAAAGGUGGUUUUCCCAGGGUGAGGCUUAUCCAUUGCACUCUGAAUGUGCUGAUCCCUGAUAUUUCCCCAGAUGUGGGGGACUGCCUUUGC